rnacentral:lncRNA from 1 species
CUUCUGGCGGUUCAGCCACCCCUCCGUCUCCUUCUGGCGGUUCCGCCACCCCUCCAACUCCUUCUGGGGGUUCCAUCACUCCUCCGGCGGCUGGUUCGCCUAAAGGAUCAUCUACACCAUCACCAGCGGGAUCACCGCCAUCUCCUUCUGCAGGUAAACAUCACAAUAUCAAUUUGAUUGGUUUAAGUAUUAGGUUCUUUGCAUUGUACGCUUUAAAAUUAUGAGUUCAAAAUUUAAUAUUUAUUGAAAUUUUAAUGAUUUUUCGCGUGUGUACUACUAUGCAGGUUCUACUACCCCACCACCCGCAACUUCAGCACCUUCAGCCACCACUCCGGCAGGUGCUCCGUCUAAAGGAUCGACCACACCCGGUACAUCAUCACCCAAUGGGGCACCAGUAGUAUCUCCACCAGCAGGUAAAUAGAAGCGGUUUAGAAUUUAAAUUUAAGAAGUUUCGUGAUUUUUUACACACACACUUAUAUAUACUCAGUAAAAUAAAUUUUAGUUAUAUAUAUAAAUAUUACAUUCGCCUCAGCAGGUAAAUCACCAACCUCAUCUCCUGCACCUGCUGGUUCAAUCGUAUCUCCGGCAACUAAUGCUCCGGUGCCGGCAACAAGUUCUAUGACUCCAACCGGAUCUCCGGCACCGACAGGAGGAGCUUCUGAUUUAUCGCCUUCACCAUCAUCAAGCUCAU